rnacentral:rRNA from 1 species
AUUAAUUGCCCGCAGUAUUUUAACUGUGCAAAGGUAGCAUAAUCAUUAGUUUUUUAAUUGGAAACUAGUAUGAAUGGUUGGACGAAAUAUAUAUUGUUUCAUAUAGAUAAAUAUAAUUUUAUUUUUUAGUUAAAAAGCUAAAAUAUUAUUAAAAGACGAGAAGACCCUAUAGAUCUUUAUAAUUUGGUAGUUUUAUUUUUGAAGAUUAAUUUUAGUAUAAUUAUUAAAAUUAUUUUAUUGGGGUGAUAACAAGAUUAAAUUAACUCUUGUAUUGAUUAUUUAACAUAGAUUAAUGAUUAAUUGAUCCAUUAUUAGUGAUUAAUAAAACAAGUUACCUUAGGGAUAACAGCGUAAUUUUUUUAGAGAGUUCAUAUCGAUAAAAAGGAUUGCGACCUCGAUGUUGGAUUAAGAGAUAGAUUUGGGCGAAGCCGGUCAAAGCUAAAGUCUGUUCGACU